UACGGAGGGGGCUAGCGUUGUUUGGAAUUACUGGGCGUAAAGCGCGCGUAGGCGGCUUUGCAAGUCAGAGGUGAAAGCCUGGAGCUCAACUCCAGAACUGCCUUUGAAACUGCAUCGCUAGAAUCAUGGAGAGGUUAGUGGAAUUCCGAGUGUAGAGGUGAAAUUCGUAGAUAUUCGGAGGAACACCGGUGGCGAAGGCGGCUGCCUGGCCCACAACUGACGCUGAGGUGCGAAAGCGUGGGGAGCGAACGGG
rnacentral:rRNA from 1 species